rnacentral:misc_RNA from 1 species
UGAUGAUGAUGAUGAUGAUUAGGGUUUCCAUGCUGAUGCCCAUACCACAGCUUCCUCUUUCCAUGUCAAGUAAAGUCCUGAUGAUUCUUGAUCUCCUUGAGGAGGCUGCAUAAGUGACCACCCAGCUCUGUAUCUUUUAAGCAAUGCCUUGACAUCAUCCACAACAUCAUCGCUGAAUCCAACCGGUGUAAACGCCUCCCGGAGUCUCUCACACCACUGAUUUCC